rnacentral:rRNA from 1 species
UACGUAGGGGGCAAGCGUUGUCCGGAAUUAUUGGGCGUAAAGAGCGCGUAGGCGGUCCGAUAAGUCGGCUGUGAAAGUCAGGGGCUCAACCCUUGAAAGCCGGCCGAUACUGUCGGACUAGAGUCCGGAAGAGGCGAGUGGAAUUCCCGGUGUAGCGGUGAAAUGCGUAGAGAUCGGGAAGAACAUCAGUGGCGAAGGCGGCCUGCUGGGCUGUUGCUGACGCUGAGGCGCGACAGCGUGGGGAGCAAACAGG